rnacentral:misc_RNA from 1 species
GGGGCUAUUGACCGAGAGCCUGGGGAAUUGUCUAGCGAGAGUGGGUCUGAUGGGGCUAUUGAGUCAGACCAGAAGACCAAGUAUGCUGCCAAUGGGAAUCAGUCUUCUGUACAGAGCAAGAAACGGAAAUAUUCUCCAAUUAUAUGGGAUAGGGAAGAUAAGGAAGUGAAUAGAAUGUCAAAGAGUAGAAAUUCACCAGUAGCUGCUAAGCUACCUCCUCCGCCUCCAUUGCCAAAGUCAUCUGGCCAGUUGGCUAAUUUCCCCUCGGAAAGGGUUGAGCAGGUCUCUCUGUUGAACACUAAUAAUGUUCACAUUAUAGAGCCAUCCCCAAGUAAUACAAAUACAGCACUUGGUUUACUUAUGGAUGCAUCUCAUGAAUCCCCAGUUGACAUAUGUUCUCCACCUGUUGAUGAGAAGCAAUUGCCCAGUCAGGAAGCCAGGAAAGUAGAAGAUGAGGAAUAUGUGCCCGUGCCGACUAUAAGAUCAUCUCGAUGGGCAACUGAUGCUGACUCUCCAGCUGAUGAAGGUGAGAUUUCAGGUGAUGAUAUGCUCCUACUGAAGAAGCGACGAGCAGUUCCCCACUUGGCCGAAAUCGGUGGACGCAGGAAAUCACUAACUCCUGAAUAUGAGGAGCUCAAGAGAGAAAGCUCUGGAGGAAAUAGAACGAGGUCUUCAGACUCUGAUGAACAUAUUAGGUCUUGCAGCAGAGAGAGUUACCAGGGCAAUGAAUUAGAUAAGAAUGGCCCAAUGGAUGUGGAUAAGGACCGCAAUUAUGAUGGGGCUAGUGUUAGCCAGUCAGAUACAGAAUCUGAAGAUGAACAUGAUUCUCGUGGUACACCGGAGGCUGCGCUUCCUCCACAAAGGAGCGUAAACAUGCUGCAGGGGUGUAGAAGUGUCGAUGAAUUCGAGCGGCUUAACAGGAUAGAUGAAGGCACUUAUGGGGUUGUUUAUCGAGCUAAAGAUAAGAAGACGGGAGAAAUUGUUGCACUAAAGAAGGUUAAGAUGGAGAAGGAACGAGAAGGAUUCCCCCUAACAUCUCUCAGGGAGAUUAACAUUCUUCUUUCUCUUCAUCACCCCUCAAUUGUAGAUGUCAAAGAAGUAGUUGUUGGAAGCAGUCUUGACAGUAUUUUUAUGGUGAUGGAGUACAUGGAACAUGAUCUGAAGGCAUUGAUGGAGACAAUGAAAAAACCAUUUACCCAAAGUGAAGUCAAAUGUCUUAUGCUCCAGCUUUUGCAUGGUGUCAAGUAUCUUCAUGAUAAUUGGGUCCUUCACCGAGAUUUGAAGACUUCAAAUUUGCUUCUGAACAACCAAGGUGAGUUGAAGAUUUGUGACUUU